UACAGAGGUCUCGAGCGUUGUUCGGAUUCAUUGGGCGUAAAGGGCGCGUAGGCGGCGGGGUAAGUCUGGUGUGAAAUCUCGGAGCUCAGCUCCGAAAUUGCACUGGAUACUGCUCUGCUAGAGGGCUGGAGAGGAGAUCGGAAUUCACGGUGUAGCAGUGAAAUGCGUAGAUAUCGUGAGGAAGACCAGUGGCGAAGGCGGAUCUCUGGACAGCUCCUGACGCUGAGGCGCGAAGGCUAGGGGAGCAAACGGG
rnacentral:rRNA from 1 species